rnacentral:rRNA from 1 species
AGUGAACGCUGGCGGUAGGCCUAACACAUGCAAGUCGAACGGCAGCACAGUAAGAGCUUGCUCUUACGGGUGGCGAGUGGCGGACGGGUGAGGAAUACAUCGGAAUCUACUUUUUCUUGGGGGCUAACGUAGGGAAACUUACGCUAAUACCGCAUACGACCUACGGGUGAAAGCAGGGGACCUUCGGCCCUCGCGCGAUUGUAUGAGCCGAGGUCGGAUUAGCUAGUUGGCGGGGUAAAGGCCCACCAAGGCGACGAUCCGUAGCUGGUCUGAGAGGAUGAUCAGCCACACUGGAACUGAGACACGGUCCAGACUCCUACGGGAGGCAGCAGUGGGGAAUAUUGGACAAUGGGCGCAAGCCUGAUCCAGCCAUACCGCGUGGGUGAAGAAGGCCUACGGGUUGUAAAGCCCUUUUGUUGGGAAAGAAAAGCAGCAGGUUAAUACCCCGCUGUUCUGACGGUACCCAAAGAAUAAGCACCGGCUAACUUCGUG